UGCUGGAGGCACGGUCCGGGCGGUGAGCCCUGCGGCCGCGUCCCUGCCCCGGCGCCGUCCGUGCCCGCGGGACCUGACAGCCGGGGCAGAGCGCACGGGCAGGCCCUGGACAACCCCGCUCCUCCUCCCACUCUCCUGGGGACGCGAGACCCGGCCGCGGGGGGCAGGGCGGGGGGUCCAGGCCCUGUGGGCGCUAUGGGAGCGCCAGGGUCCCCAGCCGCGAGGCAGCCACCGGGGAGACUCGAGAUGUGUGGACCCCAGGACGUCUGGAGCCGCCAGGUGACCCUGAGCGCCCCUCCCCGGGGAGGGCCCGUGCCGCCCGCAGUGCCGCCUCGCUCCUCCUUUUGCCUUUGCUUGGGGAGAGAAAGCCCGGGACUUCCUUGCCUGGGGUGAGGCGGCCCCCACUGGCGCGGCGGACGCUAGUGAGAAGCGGUGUCAACUAAAGAAAAGACUCGCAGUGAAAACAACUGGGUUACCUUUCCUCGGAAGUCUUCCUGAGGACGGCACAGCAGGCCGGCCGCUCCUUCCAGACUCAGCGCCGGCCUGCGCAAUCUCGCCCGGGUUUGGGUGGAGAGCGCAGACGGCUUUGAUGCCAGUUUUUCGUCUUCUGUGGAAGCUGUGACCCGGGCAGGAGACGGCCCGUGCUGGUCCUGCGCUGCGUCCUGGAGCAUCCUCAGAGCGGCUGUGCACACAGCCAGGGGCCGGGACCAGGCGUCCUCCUAGCCUUUUGCUUGGCCUCACAGCUGCAGAGACGGCAAGAAUGGUGACCGUUGCUUCAGAGUCCUUUGGUUCUGAAUAACUCAUCUCAUUGACAGUGUGGUUUUUAGGAAUUGGUUGUGUUCACUGAGGAGUUGUGGCAAAGUGAGGAAAACCUAACCCAUCCUUAGUUCCCAAAUGUGAGUGUUUUAAACUAUGUAACAGCUAACGAAACUGACAAAUUGAUACAGCUUAUGGACAUUGAAUUUUGAUUCUGCCAUGCCCUCAUUUUAGAGCCGGUAACAUAUCUUGAUUUUUCUCCCCGUAGCUCAAAUAUCUUCCAGGCUCCUGCACGGCCUGAGCUGUAACUCCGCACCCAGGAGACCCUGGGGUGAGAAGGAAGGGGAGGGCCUCAGAUGAGAAUGUAGUUUUGGUGUUUUCAGUUUAUACAAAAAGCCCUGGCAUUUUCCCGACAACACAGAGCAAACACACCGGCAGAAUGAAGCCCAGAGGCUGCCUGGUGAAGUGGGCGGCACGCUUGAAAAUCUGCGUGUGUGGAGUGGCUUGGUUCCAUCUUCCGGGAGCGUGCAAGGCCCUUUCAGGCGCUGCGGGAGCCUCGCCUUCUGCCCAGGCUUCGGAGCCAGGUGCUGGAGCCUCAGCAACAGAGGGGCAUGGAUGUCUUUGCACUUUUCCCGUAUGUUUUUCAGACGUUACUGAUCUGAUUUUCAGUACAGUGGCGGGAUCAGCAUUGAAGAACUGGGAGCGGCUGUGAGCCGACUUCCUGCAAGUGGUUGAGAAGUGGGCUUUGUGUAUUAACCGCCCCUGUGCUUAUCGGCGGCUCAGCCCUGGCGGUGCUGCUCCUGGCCUGCCGGAGCUACCUUCCCUUAGAAACAAUGCUGCCUCCAACUGCUAGUUAGCUGUGGCUUCCACAGGAGAAGCCAAGGCAGGCUCGUGUUUUCACAGCUAGGAAGGACAUGGGCCUGGCAGGGAGCUGCAGCACAGCCUCUGGCAACACAGAAGCACAGCUGUGUGUGACCCUUGCCUGCCACUCAUGUGCCCAGCAACCAGAGCGGUGGCCUCACAUGAGCUCUUCAGCGAUGCAGGUUGCAACUAGGCUCCACGCCUCAAUUGGCCCAAUAGUAACGAAAGAAAUGAGGAGUGUCGUGAAUCCUUAGGAGUCCACAUACUUAAGCUCAAAUUAGAGCCGCCCAGCCCUACAUGUUAUGACAAAGCGGCUGUUUUGUGGGGGCCUGUAUCACUCCCCUGGAUGUGGGAGCACCAGCAUCUGGGAGGUGACGGGAGGUCAGGGCCUCUGGGAUCUGGAGACCCAGGGAGACCAGCUUUGGGGUCAGGAGGCCUGCUUCUGCCCAGCAGUUCACGAUUCCCUCCAAGGCAGCUGAGGCUUGGAGCUGCGGCAGGGCCUACCGGGCCAGAGGCAGAAGGGAGCCCUCAGUCCCAGGCAGCGUCCUGGUGGGUGUAUGUCCUGUGCCAGACGAUGGUCAUAGAGGCUGAGAAAGGAAAGGACCCCAGUCUGCCUCUGGUGGCCUGAGGAAUGGAGGAGACAGUGAAAGGCCCAAGACAAGUGAUGCAGGAGUUUCCAGAGUGCAGGGUAAUACGGCACGAGAAACACCGGCCCCCAACUCCCAUCAGGGAGCCAUGCAGCCUCUGCAGGUGCUGAGAGGUUACAGGGCUCUGGUACCAGCCCCAUUCCUCCUGAACAGGCGAAGUUGAUCCACAUCCCCCCCCCCGCCCCCACCCAGCUCUUGUGCUCUAUGACUUCAGAAUACACAAAGCUGUGUCCACAGGUCUUAGCAUCUGUGAGCCCCUCGUCUGCACUGGAGGGUCCCCAGCUGGCACCAGUGCCAGGACAGAGUCCCUCUCCUGACCUGACUUCUGUACCUCCUCACCCACCUCUAGCACUGUCUUGCUAAGGCUUUCUCAGCACAGCACCCAUCUCAAGUCCCCAGCACCCACACCCCAGUGAUCCCCUGCACCCACACCCCAGUGAGUCCCCAGCACCCACACCCCAGUGAGUCC